UUCUAGACUCAGAGGAUGCUUGACGAAGAAGAGAGAGAUGAUACAGCACUGAAGGAGAGAUUUGGCUCAAAAUGGAAGAGAACUACAUCAAAUGAACUGACACAGAGCAUUCGUGGUGAAGUGGCAAAAUUUCAAGGAAUUGUUGAAUCAGCAACUAAAGCUGAUUCAACUGUUAGAGAGAAAUUUGAGACACAUCGUCCGGCUAUUGUGACACUCACAAAGAGCGAGACUGACCCUGCCUAAAGCUGGUGCAGUGGCACUUAUGGCAGCCAUCAAAGCUGGAAGCCUAUCUGUCCAAGAGCUUUGUUCAUUGAUGGAGGAUGUGAAAACGAUAAAAGCUGAGAGAGAAGUGUUGGAGCAACAGCUAAAAGGGCCAAUUGCUGACAUUAACCCAGGGAUGCAAAGGAAACAAAAAGUCGUUGGAUAGAGAACUAGUGAAGCAGCCGAAGUGAACACAGUCUUGUCUUAAAGAAGCUGUGGAAAAAGCAACUUUACUGCUGUAAACAAAUAAGGCUCAUUAAUUUUUGCCAUACGGUGAUUAUGACGUCAAAAGUGACAUCACUGCAACCACUCUAUACAGUCAUACGAAUUCUCAUUU